UCCUCUGCAGUCGACUGC
rnacentral:miRNA from 1 species